CCUACGGGGGGCUGCAGGGGGGAAUAUUGGACAAUGGGGGCAACCCUGAUCCAGCCAUGCCGCGUGUGUGAAGAAGGCCCUCGGGUUGUAAAGCACUUUCAGUGAGGAAGAACGCCUGGUGGUUAAUACCCAUCAGGAAAGACAUCACUCACAGAAGAAGCACCGGCUAACUCCGUGCCAGCAGCCGCGGUAAUACGGAGGGUGCGAGCGUUAAUCGGAAUUACUGGGCGUAAAGCGCGCGUAGGUGGCUUGAUAAGCCGGUUGUGAAAGCCCCGGGCUCAACCUGGGAACGGCAUCCGGACCUGUCAAGCUAGAGUGCAGGAGAGGAAGGUAGAAUUCCCGGUGUAGCGGUGAAAUGCGUAGAGAUCGGGAGGAAUACCAGUGGCGAAGGCGGCCUUCUGGACUGACACUGACACUGAGGUGCGAAAGCGUGGGUAGCAAACAGGAUUAGAUACCCCUGUAGUC
rnacentral:rRNA from 1 species